rnacentral:rRNA from 1 species
UACGAAGGGAGCUAGCGUUGUUCGGAAUCACUGGGCGUAAAGCGCACGUAGGCGGAUGUGUCAGUCAGGGGUGAAAUCCCGGAGCUCAACUUCGGAACUGCCCUUGAUACAGCACGUCUUGAGUCCGGAAGAGGUGGGUGGAAUUCCGAGUGUAGAGGUGAAAUUCGUAGAUAUUCGGAGGAACACCAGUGGCGAAGGCGGCUCACUGGUCCGGUACUGACGCUGAGGUGCGAAAGCGUGGGGAGCAAACAGG